rnacentral:tRNA from 1 species
GGUUAUAGCUCAGUGGUAAAGUGCUUGCCUAACAUGAAUGAGGCCUUGGGUUCGAUUCUCAGCACCA